UCUUUAAGAUUAAAAUUUAAAGUCCAAUCUGCUCACUGAGAUUUAAAGAGCCGCAGUAUUUUGACUGUGCAAAGGUAGCAUAAUCAAUAGUUUUUUAAUUGAAAACUGGAAUGAAAGAUUAGACGAAAAAUUUACUUUCUUUAUUUUAAUAAAUUGAACUUAAAAUUUAAGUUAAAAUUCUUAACUAAAUUUAAAAGACGAGAAGACCCUAUAGAUUUUUAUUCCUUAAUUUUGUUAAUAUAAUAGCAUCAUGAUGAAGAAUUUAAUUGGGGCGAUUUUGUAAUACAAAUAACUUAAAUUUAAUAAACCAUAAAUAAUUGAAUAUUUUGAUCUAAAACUUUUAAAUGUCAGAUUAAAUUACCUUAGGGAUAACAGCGUAAUUUUAUUUAAGAGUUCAUAUCUAUAAUGAAGUUUGCGACCUCGAUGUUGAAUUAAGAAAUCCACUGGAGUAGAAAUUAGUGAUUAUUAGUCUGUUCGACUAUUAAAUUCU
rnacentral:rRNA from 1 species